rnacentral:pre_miRNA from 2 species
UUUGUGGGGUAUGUUGGCUGGCUCGAUGCAUUCACUUACAGGAGAAAUUAGUUGGUUUAUCUCUCUAAAUGUUCUUUAGAACAUGUGACGGCAUCGGACCAGGCUUCAUUCCUCUCAAA